UACAGAGGGGGCAAGCGUUGUUCGGAAUUACUGGGCGUAAAGGGCGCGUAGGCGGCCGGCUAAGUCGAACGUGAAAUCCCCGGGCUCAACCCGGGAACUGCGUCCGAUACUGGUCGGCUUGAAUUCGGGAGAGGGAUGCGGAAUUCCAGGUGUAGCGGUGAAAUGCGUAGAUAUUGGAAAGAACACCGAUGGCGAAGGCACUUUACUGGGCUAUUACUAACACUCAGAGACGAAAGCUAGGGUAGCAAAUGGG
rnacentral:rRNA from 1 species